GUCCACGCCGUAAACGAUGUCUACUAGCCGUUGGGAGCCUUGAGCUCUUAGUGGCGCAGCUAACGCACUAAGUAGACCGCCUGGGGAGUACGGUCGCAAGAUUAAAACUCAAAUGAAUUGACGGGGGCCCGCACAAGCGGUGGAGCAUGUGGUUUAAUUCGACGCAACGCGAAGAACCUUACCAGGUCUUGACAUCUAGAGAACUUUCCAGAGAUGGAUUGGUGCCUUCGGGAACUCUAAGACAGGUGCUGCAUGGCUGUCGU
rnacentral:rRNA from 1 species